UCGUUGUUGGUCCUUCUUUCACUAAUGAUCUAAUGAUCUCACCCCUACCAAGCCAAGCUUUCUUGAGGAGGCUGGGCUGGUUCCUUUUCGGAAAACCGCCUUUUUUUUAUACUAAAAGCUGCCAUGCACGACCAAAUAGGAAUGCUUUCAGUGCCCCUCUCUAGAGAAGAAGCAAAAAAAACGCGCCAUCACCUACAGCCCUCUCCUCUGCUGGGGAC
rnacentral:lncRNA from 1 species